rnacentral:rRNA from 1 species
AAUAGAUACCCGGGUAGUCCACGCCCUAAACGAUGCAUAUUUGGUGUGGGCCAUUCAUUUGGUCUGUGCCGGAGCUAACGCGUUAAAUAUGCCGCCUGGGGAGUACAGUCGCAAGGCUGAAACUCAAAGGAAUUGACGGGGGCCCGCACAAGCGGUGGAGCAUGUGGUUUAAUUCGACGCAACGCGAAGAACCUUACCUGGGCUCGAAAUGCUUACGACCAUCUUUGGAAACAGAGACUUCCCGCAAGGGACGUGAGUAUAGGUGCUGCAUGGCUGUCGUCAGCUCGUGUCGUGAGAUGUUGGGUUAAGUCCCGCAACGAGCGCAACCCUCGUCUUUAGUUGCUACCAUUUAGUUGGGCACUCUAAAGAACUGCCGGUGAUAAGCCGGAGGAAGGUGGGGAUGACGUCAAGUCCUCAUGGCCCUUACGCGCUGGGCUACACACGUGCUACAAUGGGCGGCACAAAGGGUUGCGAAGUCGCGAGGCAGAGCUAAUCCCAAAAAACCGUCCUCAGUACGGAUUGCAGU